AUGGAUUUUGGGGUGCUUGAAGGUGAAUUUGGGGUGCUGGAGGAUGGGAUUCGGGUGCUGGAAGGUGAAUUUAGGGUGCUGAGUUUUGCUGUCCCGGGUUUGCUGUCCCGGCUCUGUCCCGGCUCUAUCCCAGCUCUGUCCCGGUUCUGUCCCGGUUGUGUCCCUGCUCUAUCCCUGCUCUGUCCCGGCUCUGUCCUGGGUUUGCUGUCCCAGCUCUGUCCUGGGUUUGCUGUCCCGGUUCUAUCCCAGCUCUGUCCCGGCUCUGUCCCGGCUCUGUCCCAGCUCUGUCCUGGGUUUGCUGUCCCGGCUCUGUCCCGGCUCUGUCCCGGCUCUAUCCCUGCUCUGUCCUGGCUCUGUCCCGGUUCUGUCCCGGCUCUGUCCCGGUUCUGUCCCGGCUCUAUCCCUGCUCUGUCCCGGCUCUAUCCCUGCUCUGUCCCGGUUCUGUCCCAGUUCUGUCCCGGCUCUGUCCUGGGUUUGCUGUCCCGGUUCUGUCCCGGCCUGUCCCGGGCCGGCCCCUGCCCGGAGCCCUCCCGUGACCCAUUCCCCGGGCCGGGGGCUCGGGCCAGCCCCGGUCUGGCCCCGGUCUGGCCCCGGUCUGGCCCCGCGGGCCCGGGGCAGGGCCUGGGCUGGGUAAAAGGAAUCCGAGCUCCGGCCGAGCCGUUCCCCGGCCCCUCCAGCAUUGUCCCGAUCCUGGCCCGGGACAGCCGCGGGGAGCCGAGCCCGGCUGCGGCCUGGGGGGAGCAGGAGCGGAGCGGGUCCCCCGUGACCCCUCUGACAGGACAGGGACAGCGGCUGUGCCCUUGUCCCCACCCUGGCACCUCAUGCCUGCGCUCCUGGGGGUGGCCAGGAGAUCCUGGGGGUGUCCAGGAGGUCCUGGGGAUGUUCAGCCAGUCCUGGGGGUGUCAAGUGGGUCCUGGAAAUGCCCAGGAGGUCCUGGAAGUGUCCAGAAAGUCCUGGAGAUGUCCAGCAGAUCCUGGGGAUGUCCAGGAGGUCCUGAGGAUGGCCAGCAGGUCCUGGGGAUGGCCAGCAGGUCCUGGGGAUGGCCAGCAGGUCCUGGGGGUGUCCAGGAUGUCCUGGGGGUGUCCAGGAGGCCUUGAGGUGCCCAGGAGAUCCUGGGGAUGUUCAGCAAGUCCUGGGGGUGUCAAGCGGGUCCUGGGGAUGCCCAGGAGGUCCUGGAAGUGUCCAGAAAGUCCUGGAGAUGUCCAGCAGAUCCUGAGGAUGUCCAGGAGGUCCUGAGGAUGGCCAGCAGGUCCUGGGGGUGUCCAGUAGGUUCUGGGGUAUUCACCAAGUCCUGAGAGUGUCCAACAGGUCCUGGAGGUAUCCAGAAAGUCCUGGAGAUGUCCAACAGGUCUUGGGGAUGUCCAGGAAGUCCUGGAGAUACCCAGCAGGUCCUGGGAGUCUCCAGCAGGUCCUGGGGGUGUCCAGUAGGUUCUGGGCUGCCCAGCAAGUCCUGGGGGUGUUCAGCGAGUCCAGAGGAUGUCCAGCGGUUCCUGGGGAUGCCCAGGAAGUCAUGGGAGUGUCCAGGAGGUCUUGGGGUGCCCAGGAGGUCCUGGGGAUGUCCAGGAGGUCUUGGGGAUGCCCAGCAAGUCCUGGGGAUGUUCAGCAAGUCCUGGGGGUGUCAAGCGGGUCCUGGGGAUGCCCAGGAGGUCCUGGAAGUGUCCAGAAAGUCCUGGAGAUGUCCAGCAGAUCCUGGGGACACCCAGAGGCUCCAGGAGGGCUGCUGGGGACAGGUCCCGCGGUGCGGGUGGCACUGGUGCGGGGAGGUUGGGGACGGCCACCAGCCCCGGGGCCACUGGGGCGGGCGAGGAAGGACAGGAAAGUGAAAGUCCGGCUGGGCUGUCCCCAUGGCCACCACAACAAAGCUCCUGCUCCCUCUUUUCUGGCUCCGUCACCCCGUGUCCCUUUGGGAGUUGUGUCCCCAGUCUGGGAAUUGUGUCCCCACUCUGGGAAUUGUGUCCCCACUCUGGGAAUUGUGUCCCCACUUUGGGAAUUGUGUCCCAAGUUUGGGAAUUGUGUCCCCAGUCUGGGAAUUGUGUCCCCACUUUGGGAAUUGUGUCCCCAGUUUGGGAAUUGUGUCCCUAGUUUGGGAAUUGUGUCCCCAGUCUGGGAAUUGUGUCCCCAGUCUGGGAGUUGUGUCCCCAGUCUGGGAAUUGUGUCCCUGUCCAGUUUGGGGACACUCGGGGACACUUGGGGACACUUGGGGACACAGGGGUGGCACCAGGACCAGCUGUCCCCUCCAGCUGGGAAUGGGAAUGUGGGAAUGUUCCACGGGGUUUAACGGGAAUGUUCCACUCAGCCCCUUUAGGGUUUGGGGUCUGUGGGGUUUUUAGAAUCUGUGGGGUCUUUAGGGUCUGGAAUCUGUGGUGUCUUUAGGGUUUGGGGUCUGUGGGGUUUUUAGGGUCUGU
rnacentral:lncRNA from 1 species